rnacentral:rRNA from 1 species
AUUGAACGCUGGCGGCAUGCCUUACACAUGCAAGUCGAACGGUAACGGGCCUUCGGGUGCCGACGAGUGGCGAACGGGUGAGUAAUGUAUCGGAACGUACCUUUCAGUGGGGGAUAACGUAGCGAAAGUUACGCUAAUACCGCAUAUUCUGUGAGCAGGAAAGCAGGGGAUCGCAAGACCUUGCGCUGAUUGAGCGGCCGAUAUCAGAUUAGCUAGUUGGUGAGGUAAAGGCUCACCAAGGCGACGAUUUGUAGCGGGUCUGAGAGGAUGAUCCGCCACACUGGAACUGGGACACGGUCCAGACUCCUACGGGAGGCAGCAGUGGGGAAUUUUGGACAAUGGGGGCAACCCUGAUUCAGCCAUGCCGCGUGAGUGAAGAAGGCCUUCGGGUUGUAAAGCUCUUUCGGCCGGGAAGAAAUCGUAUCAGCUAAUACCUGGUGCGGAUGACGGUACCGGCAUAAGAAGCACCGGCUAACUACGUGCCAGCCGCCGCCGUAACAC